UGUGUUCUCCUUUCCCCUAAAUGCAGCUUUAUUCUCUUCCCAAUUCUUUCCCCCUCCAUUAAAAACCAGCAACUCCUCCUCUUUCCCUAUGUCUCUUUGUUUCUCACGUGCAUCUCUCCCUUGCUGCCCUUGUCACCCUACCGAUCUAAAACUGCUGCUGAGAGACUAGAGAGAGGAGAAGGUAAUAGGAGGAGAAUUGAAGGAAGGACAGCGCUGCACAAACCCUAGACCUUUGGGGGAUCAAGGUGCUUAAGUGCAUGCUUUGCUUGAAGGGAUGGGAUUAGCUGCACAUCAUCACAUAUUUGAUCACACGCUUUUGUAACAAUAAUGACAAAUUUUGUCUUGCUGUAAUGUUUUUAUGAGUAAAAUUCGUUAUGUUUUUUUGUGCCUUAUAAAAAUAAUUGUGGAUGAUAUUUACUGUU